UUCCCGCGAGAUAUAAUCUAGUAGGCUACGCUGACCUGGGUUAAGAAUUCCUCAAAUAUAAAUGGUCUAAAUGUUACUUUACUUGGCAAAACAAAGGCAGAGUAAGUAAUUUUUCCAAAUCUCUCUUCAGACACGCCAUAUAAGGAAGGUUUUCCUUCUAGGGGGAUUUGGACUCUCAUUAAUCUAUUUCUCCUUUCAACAAUAAAAUGAAAAAUGGAAUGAGAUUAUCAAAAUGGAUAGUCUGGUGUGGACCCGAUAACAUGCUUUUGAAAAGUGGUUUACAUUUGACAUCAGUUAAGCUCCCCGGGCCAGCACAUCUCAGGUCGGCUACGUGGGGCCUGGAUCCACUCCCUGCUUGGACACAAAUACGCUUUAUGGGUUUCAAGCGCCUCUGCAGCCAGUUGGAAGGAUGGAUGGACUCCUAGUGCGGGGAGUAUUAAGUCAUCGGCAGGACUAUAAAUAUCCCUGCUCCUAUCUUAUUCAGCAUUUAUACAAAGACAGUUUUGUGCAGUACGACUUCUUUUUUCCUGGAGUCUGUAUGUAUUUCAAGUUGCUCGUCUCUUUAUCACGGAUACAUUUUUGUAUGUGCGGCACGACACACGCGAAGCAUAAGUUGUCGUCUCGAGCCUGCGUGUGGAUGUAAGCAGAGCUCCUGUGUCCCCUUGCUGAGCGCCAGGGAGGCCGCUGCAGUUGCCCUGUGACAGCGCGCACGACUGACAUUUACGGAGAGCUUCCCGGUGCCAAGCCCUAUGCCGAGCACUUUGCAACCAUUAAUUUAUGUAAUCCUGCCUGCCCAGGCAGAAAUUAUGAUCUCCUUCUCACAAGUGAGAAAUUAGGCUCAGAAAGGUCAAGAACCUGCCCGAGCUCACCCUGGCUGGGCAGCGGGGGAGCCCUGCAGUGGGUAUAGGCCUCCUCCUCCUCGGCACUGCACCGUCACGGUCACGGGCGGACACUGACGUCUGCUCCCUGCUGAGGUUGUGAGCCCCCCGGGGAGGCCCCCCGCCCCCCGCCACUGGUUUCACAGAGGAUACCAGGAAAAUACUAUUAAAAAUAUGGAAUCCUGCCUUAAAAUUCUCCAAUUAAAUUCAAAUUCUAUUUUACCCAUGCCCACGAAACUCUGUAGCAAGCACUCAUUUACCGAGGAGUUAUUACCCAAGCCUUUGAACCUUAAUUACUCCCAGGACUCUGAGCCGCAUGGACACAGCAAAUAACGCAAUGCAGGGCAACGUGGAGGUUCGGAAGAGGAAACGCACUUGGCAGUUCUCUCUCUUUUUUUUUUUCUUUUCCCCUUUGGGGAGGCCUUGCGUUAUCAAAUGGGCAGAGGUGUGUUUCAUGUGCAAAGAGCAGAAAGCCGGGGAGUCGGGGGAACAUCUCUCUGCAGACGUGUCAAGGCCUAGCGUUGAAUAGGCCGCGUGCUUUGGUUGAUGCUCCUAUUCCCAGCACCACGUCGAAGGCCAAUAUUCUAAGAAAAAAUUCGGAAUCCUUUCCUCGGCUGUGAUGCGAUAGUCUUGCUGGAAUAGACCAUGCAGCCUUCACCUCUUCUGUUAACGUAGUGAGGAGCGAGGCUUUGGGCCUCUGGGAUGGAGGAGCUUCCCUCGCGCAACAACAUGCAUUUAUUGAGCGCCGGCAGACUUGGUGGGAGA
rnacentral:lncRNA from 12 species